GUCUAGUUAGCUUGGAGGGUAGCGUACCUGCCUUGUAAGCGGUAGGUCGCGGGUUCGAUUCCCGCUCGGGGCG
rnacentral:tRNA from 1 species